GGUUGUGUAGUGUAGUGGUUAUCACUGUAAGCUCUCCUCACCAACAGCGCGUCUGUUUAUUCCCAUGCUGACUCCCAAUCAGCCGGAUUUUGAUCACCUCAAAGUCUUCCGGCAACCCCGGUUCGAACCCGGGCUCGACCU